CGACCUUUUUUGUUCCUUUUGAUUUGCUCUACUUUUUCCUCUUUUAAGUUCUUCUGUUUUGGAAUUUAAUUUUUUCUAUUUUGGAAGUUGAACUUGAAGUUCCUUUUUGUUAUUGUAUUUCUCAUGGUGGGUUGUUGCUUUUCUUUUUUCCAGGGCUAAUUCAUUUACUAGUGUAGCUGAAUUGCUCUGGGAAUUUUGACCUCUUCAUGGGCCUUAACCGGUCUUGUAAGAUCUUUUCUUCAUCUUACUAUAGCUUGCUUCCUUCUAUGUGGAUCAACCUUGGGUUAUUUUGCUUGGAAAUUUUGUGAUGUUUUUGGAAUUCUCUUGCCUUGCCCUUGCUCUGGGUUUUUGGGUACCAAAAUAGCAACCACUGCUGGCAUAAUCUGCUUAUUCAAUGGCCAAGGAGAAAAAUAUACUCUGUUCAAAAUCUGGCUUUGAAUACGUUCCCUUUCGACUCGGUUUCGAUCAACUAUAGAGAGUUGAAACCGAAUGAUGUAAAAUUUGGCAUCGGGGUCAUUGGAUUGGAAGGUGAAGCAUGUUCUAUUUCACUUUCAAGUCUGAAAUUGCAAACUAUGGUGGAUAAAGAUGGCAUCCAUUGGAAAGAGAACCAUGAAUCAAAAGCAGAAAUCGUGAACUCAGAGGCGGCGGCGGACUGCUUUCGGUAAUGGAAAAUCUACUCCAGUAUUGUUGUCUGAUGAUAAAAGAACUCAAACUUGCACGGAUGUCAGUGAGGCAACCCGGCAUCUUGAAGCAACUUUUCAUGUGAAUUUUGCUUCAGGGCAUCAUUCGUUGAGUUGAAGUUUUCAUUGCUUUUUGAGUUCUGAUAUUUUAUUAGCAUUACAUGUGUGUUGACCUACGUGAACAUGCUAUUUCAGAUGAUAAAAGUACUCAACCUUGCACGGAUGUCAGUGAGGCAACCCGGCAUGGUUUAGAAUUGAGCAGUGGAGAGGAAAAAGGUUCAACUUUUCUGAAAAAAUCUAUAGCUGCGACGACACUAAUGAAAUAUUUGGGUUUAUCAGAGAUGAAGCGAAUCAGAUCAGAAUGUUGGAACAAGCUCUUGAAGAAGAGAAAACUAAACAUGCUGCUAUAUGCUUGGAGUUGGAUAAAGAAAGGGCUGCAGCCGCUUCGGCUGCCGAUGAAGCCAUGGCGAUGAUUUUGCGUCUGCAAGAGGAUAAGGCUU